rnacentral:lncRNA from 1 species
AUGCGUGGAUGGCGUCCCACCCUCGGCCAGCCGAGAGGAGCAACGAGCCUGGCAGCACAGAGCGCAGAGAGGCAGGCGUGGGGGGCACAGGCGCUGGGACCCCAAAGGUGGGUGCAGGAAGGCGCGUCGGGCCGGGCCGUCACCCAGGGUUGCCCGCCUUUACUAACCGAUGACGAAAAGCAGGGGACACUGGGGACACUGGCUGAGUGUGCCUGUGGUGGUCUUCCCAGCGGCAUGGCAGGCUCCUGGGGAAGGGGCUCACCCACACCCCAUAAACCACGGGCCCUCAGGAGCAGCCCUGCUUCUGUGAGAUCCAGGGAAGGGCCUGGUGGUUAUUUUCUUCUUUGUCCUGACUGUAUUGCCCAGACGGUGCCCCUUGGUGUGCUCAGGCCUCAGGGCUCAAUCUGGCCUGGCAGGGCCCCACACAGGCAGGGGGCUUCUUGUCCCGGCACCAAAAUGUCCGGUGCUCUGGGGGCCCCAGUGCCCAGUCCCAGUCCUCAGUGGGGCUCUGUGGCGGUGUCCCCGGCAGAUCUGGAGGUGCUGGGUUCCCCCUGCGCCUGCCAGCCCCACCAUGCAGGCAUCACCGGUGUCUUUGAGCAUGCAGGGCUCGGCACCCAGCCAGCACAGUGGCUCUGCAGGGCGGCUGCAACCAAAAUAUUCAGAGGUGAGGGGGCAGAGCAGGUAGAUCAAAACUGGGGGAAUUCCUAUCUGCCAGGUGUCUUGCAGGCAGGCUCUAUUUUCUUUGUCAUACUGGAAAACUCUUCCCAAAAAGCAAAGGGCCAGGUGCAGUGCUGGGAAUGGCACGAGAGUGUGCAGGGCCCUGGCACUGCCUCUGCCAUGCAGUCCUCCCCAGCACGAUGGCCCACAGCCUCCGCACAGGCUCCUUCCCCGGGCAGAGCUGCGUGCUUGCCGCAUCCUCGCCAGCCGGCGAGGCCCUGCCCGCCUCCAGCUCCCACACUGAACAAGUCACAGAAGAAGCCAGGCAUGUUCCCAGUUGAAUUUCCAGGUUUAGCAUUUAAGGACUUGAAUUUCAGCCGUAAAUCUCACUUGUAA